rnacentral:rRNA from 1 species
UACGUAGGGGCCAAGCGUUGUCCGGAUUUAUUGGGCGUAAAGAGCUCGUAGGCGGUUUGGAUAGUCGGGUGUGAAAACUCCGAGCUCAACUCGGAGACGCCACCCGAUACUGCUCUGACCUGAGUUCGGUAGGGGAGUGGGGAAUUCCUGGUGUAGCGGUGAAAUGCGCAGAUAUCAGGAGGAACACCGGUGGCGAAGGCGCCACUCUGGGCCGAAACUGACGCUGAGGAGCGAAAGCGUGGGUAGCAAACAGG